CGAGGGACUAUUCGUGAAAAAAUUAAAUAUAGACAGAACGUAAAACUGCGCCAGGACCGGGCAAAUCUCCUGCCACCGUUGUUCAAAACCCUCGCGCCUGAAAAUAUCUCAAAUUACAUAUUAGUACGUAUCUCCGUCGUAGCGUCGCGGAUGGCCUACUCUGGGACAAUGGCAUGUAUGCUUGAUUCUGAUAAACAAAAAGGCACAGAAAUUAUAUGAGUGCUUGAUUUGCCCCCCGCAAUUCGUUGCUGAUUUUAAGUUUAUUUUAAUAAGUGACGUUUGUGGUUAAUUUUGGAAAUGAAGGUCGCAAAUAUGCGAGAAGAACUUGAACUUGCCAAGAUAUGUAUCAGAGGACCACCUAAGAGAGUUCUUCCCCCAGAAAGGCAAAGUUACUGAUGCCUAGCUCACGCGCACCAUGCAUCCCCCUUUCGGUACCCUUUUUUUAUAUGUGAUUAACUUAUUUCUUUAUUCCAUCAUUUGAGCAACAGAAAACAAUUCAAUUUUGGACUGGAAGAGCAGGCAUUUUGGAUUUGUUGGAUACAGGACAGAGCAAGAAGCAGAGCAAGCCAUUAACUGCUUCAAGAAGUCUUUAGUGGUUUCAGAAUGAUUUGUGAGGUACUUCAUAGGAUUGGUUUGAGUGUAAUAAAAUACUUGCAUAAGGAAGAUAUAGUAAUUGAGACCCUAAGAAAGGAAUCUAUGGACCUAGAUAAACUGAGCUUUCCUGGACAUUCGUUGAGCAGCGAAUUGUAUUUGCAAUCAGCUUAUAGUAUGCUAUAAAGUACACUUAUCACGGAAAAAUCAACCUUUGUCUAAAUUCAGAUUGCUUGGAAGGUUGGAUAUUCAAACAUCCACUUCCAUGGAGUUGGUACUCAAUGAAGAAACAGGGAAGUUCCUCUGAAGAGGAAAAGAAAGUAUACCUGGUCCUAAAGUUUCUAAAGUUGCAAUAGCAAAAGGAGAGAUCACGAAAAGCAAGAAAGAUGAUGGGUAUGAAGACCCUCAAUUUCAGGAGUUCCUCCAGGUCAUGCAGCCGCAUAGCAAGUCCAAACUGUGGGCAAAUGAUGCCCUUGCAGCUCCCUCUCUUGAGCAAGUAAAGAAGCUAGUAACGAGAAGCAUCAAGUAAAAGGUAGUCAUGGUAAAUUGGAUGAACUGAAUGCCGAAUCUGAGGGAAUUGAGGGGAAAGAAAAUGCAUUGUCAGAGAUUCGAGAGGUAGAUGAACUGUUUAGUUCACAAUGAAGUUGUAUCUGAUAUGGAUAUAUCUGCUCUAAACUGCCCCGUAUAAUUCGAAUUCUGGGCUAGUAGGUAUUUCUUGUCACGUUCUUCAGUAAGUAACUCUUAUCAUUUUCUUUUUGUUUCCAUUUUUCUUAUGUUCGCUUUCUGAUGUAAAAGUUGACGAGGAGUUGGAAGAACACUUUUAGCAAAUAUGGUGACAUCUCAUAGUUCCAUAUUGUUUUUUAUCAAGAUAUGACAUGGUCCGAGGGCACAGCAUACAUUCUUUAUGCUCUUCCAAAAUCUGCUGCUAGGUAUCAUCCAGAGUUGUACCCUAUCAUGCUGGAACUUCUGUCAAAAGCUGUGAUGUUUUGGUGCGUUGUUCGGGGCUUUGGAAGAGUUCGAAAUUCAAAUUUUCAAGGGAGUUAUUUCAUGACAUGCCUGCAAAAGAAAAGAAUCCAGCUGAUAAGCAAGAGACCAACAAUUUCAUCCUACAAUCUUCAAAGACAUUUAAACAGCAGAGUCUUCUGAAGUUAGUGGACAUACACGAGGAUGGAAUAGUUCAAUCAUACAACCUGAUACAGAACCUGUUGCUAGGGAUGGCUUUUCCAACUCUACAGAGGCAAUUUGAAGAUAUAGAAACCAGAAACAAGAGUAACCAAACGUGAAGUGAGAUUGUAUUUCUGUAAAUAGGAUAACACUGGUGAAUAGACUCUGAGAAUUACAGCAAUGAUGUAAAUCUCCUUGAUGGAAUACAAUGAUAAUGCUUUAAAGAAAUAAAAGGAUAAAUGGACAUUCGAGAGGUCCAAUUCUCUCCCAA